rnacentral:rRNA from 1 species
UACGUAGGGUGCAAGCGUUAAUCGGAAUUACUGGGCGUAAAGCGUGCGCAGGCGGUUAUGUAAGACAGUUGUGAAAUCCCCGGGCUCAACCUGGGAACUGCAUCUGUGACUGCAUAGCUAGAGUACGGUAGAGGGGGGGAUGGAAUUCCGCGUGUAGCAGUGAAAUGCGUAGAGAUGCGGAGGAACACCGAUGGCGAAGGCA